rnacentral:tRNA from 1 species
UAGCUCAGUGGUAGAGUGCUUGCCUCCCAUGCAUGAGACCCUGGGUUCGAUUCCUCAG